rnacentral:rRNA from 1 species
ACUGAUCGAAUCGCAAGGCCUACGGCCGCGAUAANUCUUUNAAGUUUCUGCCCCAUCAUCUUUCGAUGGUAGUGUAUUGGACUACCAUGGCUUUUACGGGUAACGGAGGAUUAGGGUUCGAUUCCGGAGAGGGAGCCUGAGAAACGGCUACCACAUCUAAGGAAGGCAGCAGGCGCGUAAAUUACCCAAUCCUGACUCAGGGAGGUAGUGACAAGAAAUAACGGGCCGGGA